rnacentral:rRNA from 1 species
UACGGGGGGGGUAAGCGUUGUUCGGAAUUACUGGGCGUAAAGGGCUCGUAGGCGGCCAACUAAGUCAUACGUGAAAUCCCUCAGCUUAACUGGGGAACUGCGUGUGAUACUGGAUGGCUUGGAUUUGGGAGAGGGAUGCGGAAUUCCAGGUGUAGCGGUGAAAUGCGUAGAUAUCAGGAGGAACACCGGUGGCGAAGGCGGGUCUCUGGGCCAUAACUGACGCUGAGGAGCGAAAGCAUGGGGAGCGAACAGG